GACGAACGCGGGCGGCGUGCCUAAUACAUGCAAGUAGAACGCUGAAGAGAGGAGCUUGCUCUUCUUGGAUGAGUUGCGAACGGGUGAGUAACGCGUAGGUAACCUGCCUUGUAGCGGGGGAUAACUAUUGGAAACGAUAGCUAAUACCGCAUAACAAUGGAUGACACAUGUCAUUUAUUUGAAAGGGGCAAUUGCUCCACUACAAGAUGGACCUGCGUUGUAUUAGCUAGUAGGUGAGGUAACGGCUCACCUAGGCGACGAUACAUAGCCGACCUGAGAGGGUGAUCGGCCACACUGGGACUGAGACACGGCCCAGACUCCUACGGGAGGCAGCAGUAGGGAAUCUUCGGCAAUGGGGGCAACCCUGACCGAGCAACGCCGCGUGAGUGAAGAAGGUUUUCGGAUCGUAAAGCUCUGUUGUAAGCCAAGAACGAGUGUGAGAGUGGAAAGUUCACACUGUGACGGUAGCUUACCAGAAAGGGACGGCUAACUACGUGCCAGCAGCCGCGGUAAUACGUAGGUCCCGAGCGUUGUCCGGAUUUAUUGGGCGUAAAGCGAGCGCAGGCGGUUUGAUAAGUCUGAAGUUAAAGGCUGUGGCUCAACCAUAGUUCGCUUUGGAAACUGUCAAACUUGAGUGCAGAAGGGGAGAGUGGAAUUCCAUGUGUAGCGGUGAAAUGCGUAGAUAUAUGGAGGAACACCGGUGGCGAAAGCGGCUCUCUGGUCUGUAACUGACGCUGAGGCUCGAAAGCGUGGGGAGCGAACAGG
rnacentral:rRNA from 1 species